UUAUAGAGCAUCACGAAUCGAGUUACCUGAGCCAUUGGGGCCGAUGACUGCGUUGAAGGGCUUCAAAGGGCCGAUAACGCGAUGCCCUCGGUAGGACUUGAAGUUUUCAACUUCAAUAUGCUUUAGUCUGGCAGGCAUUUUCUUUAAUUAAUGUUUACUUUUCAUUGUUUAGCAUUUUCACGAAAACACCGCUCAUUUCUGUGCAAACAACAUGGCAGCCGCAGGGGUGCCACCACAUGUAAUGUGGAAUUUCGGAGUGUUUAGUCGUUUAGUGUGGCUUUAACUUAUUAAAAAGGAUGUUUUGGCGCUACAAUGAUCCACAUAAGCUUCAUGAAUCCACACAAAAAGUGACGUUUGAGUGGCGCGAAAUUCAAAUUCGGCUUGACUAUUCUUAAAUACAGACGGAAAAAAACAAUAUAAACUUGUAAAAAUGUAGAAUAUAUAUUAAAUUAGAGGAAAAAAGUCGAUUUAACACUAA